rnacentral:rRNA from 1 species
CGCGUAGGCGGCCAGCGCAAGUCAGUUGUGAAAUCUCCGGGCUUAACUCGGAACGGUCAACUGAUACUGCGCGGCUAGAGUGCGGAAGGGGCAACUGGAAUUCUCGGUGUAGCGGUGAAAUGCGUAGAUAUCGAGAGGAACACCUGCGGCGAAGGCGGGUUGCUGGGCCGACACUGACGCUGAUGCGCGAAAGCCAGGGGAGCGAACG